AAGUAACGUCCUGCCAAACCCG
rnacentral:siRNA from 1 species